rnacentral:rRNA from 1 species
UAAUACGAAGGUGGCAAGCGUUGUUCGGAUUUACUGGGCGUACAGGGAGCGUAGGCGGUUCGGUAAGCCCUCUGUGAAAUCUCCAGGCUUAACCUGGAACAGUCGGAGGGGACUGCUGGGCUAGAGGACGGGAGAGGAGCGCGGAAUUCCCGGUGUAGCGGUGAAAUGCGUAGAGAUCGGGAGGAAGGCCGGUGGCGAAGGCGGCGCUCUGGAACGUUUCUGACGCUGAGGCUCGAAAGCGUGGGGAGCAAACAGGAUUAGAUACCCUGGUAGUCCACGCCUUAAACUAUGAAUACUAAGUGUCGGCGGGUUACCGCCGGUGCCGCAGCUAACGCAUUAAGUAUUCCGCCUGGGAAGUACGGCCGCAAGGUU